rnacentral:rRNA from 1 species
GGCCCGCCAGAUUAUUACAAGUAAAAACUUAAAACUCAAAGGACUUGACGGUGUCCCACACACAACCUAGAGGAGCCUGUCCUAUAAUCGAUGAUCCACGAAGGACCUUGCCACCCUUUGCCCACCAACCUAUAUACCGCCGUCGGAAGUUCACCUUGUGAGAGAGAAAAAGUGAACAUAAUAGCUUAACACUAGCACGUCAGGUCAGGGGGUAUUUAAUAGGGGGGA